GGCGGGGCCAUGGCGGAGGCGGCGGAGCAGGCCCGGGCCGAGGCGGCGGCCGGCGCGGAGGAGACCGUGAAGAUCAUCUGCCUGGGCGACAGCGCCGUGGGCAAGUCCAAGCUGCUGGAGAGGUUCCUGCUCCACAGCUUCUGCUCCCAGCAGCUCUCCACCUUCGCCCUGACGCUCUACAAGCACCGCGCCCGGGUGGACGGGCGGGCGGUCCUCGUGGACUUCUGGGACACAGCUGGACAGGAGAGGUUCCAGAGCAUGCAUGCAUCUUAUUACCAUAACGCUCAUGCUUGUAUCCUGGUGUUUGAUGUGCAGCGGAAAGUCACUUACAAGAACUUGAACAGCUGGUACAAGGAGCUGAGGGAAUUCCGUUCAGAGAUUCCGUGCAUUGUGGUGGCCAACAAAAUUGAUGCGGAUAUGAAGGUGACCCAGAAAAGCUUCAAUUUUCCCCGGAAGUUCAGUUUGCCCUUUUACUUUGUGUCUGCUGCAGAUGGCACCAAUGUAGUGAAGCUCUUCAAUGAUGCCAUCAAACUGGCAGUUGCUUACAAACAGAAUUCAGGAGAUUUCAUGGACGAGGUCAUGCGAGAACUGGAGAGCUUUGACCUGCAGAAAAGUGAGAAUUUGUUGGAUCAAGAGGAGAGCUGCCCUGAAGAGAAUCCCCCAUCUGCCUAAGCCCUGGACCCUGAGUCUGAGUUUCCCUUUGUUCUAGAUUUCUGGGGCUAAUUAAAGCUGGCCUUCAUAAAGGAAAGUGAUUUUUCUCUUGCCCUGAGAGCUCAGCUGGGGUUCUCCCACUCUUGUGGGAGAUUCUCUAGCCAUGACUUUUCUUGAUGUGGCCUGAGCUGCUGCGUAUCAUUGUCAAGGAGAGGGUGAGAAUAUCCACAAGGCUGCUGGUUACUGCUUGCUUCUUCAAGGCAAAGCUUGCCUGGAGAGUUCAGCCACUCUGGGACCUACAGGGAAGGGACCUGUCUGGAAGCUUUAAUGGUCUGCUAGAGCUGAAUCAGGUGGAAUCACACCCAGGAGGCUUGUCCUAUCCCAGCCUGAUGGAUGUGGCUGCUGCUGCUCCCAUGUGUGUGUUCAGGAUACUUGUGCUGCACAAGUCUAGUUUCAAGUUCACCAGUGCAUUGUACACACCUACAGGGAUCCCACCAGUAGCUGGCCUAAGACAUGUUGUGUUUCCAACUGCUGUCCCUGUAACCUCUGUGCCCUUCUUCCACUGUACCCUCACCCUCCUCUGAGCAGGCCCAUUUGAGUGACACCUCACAGAUAACUGAAGGGAGAGGUGGGAGCAUUUUAGGGAGAGGCAUCUGACAGGGACAGCACCACCCAGGCAGUGUGAUGGAAGUCCAAGGUGACCUUGCUGUCUGCACCUCAAACGUCAAAUCUGUUCACAAAUGCAGCAAAUCUCAGAGGAAGGUGGGGAAAAUAACCAGGGGCAGAUCACUUGUUUGGGACAAGAAAAGGGUGGAGAAAGAGGAGUCAAGGAGGAUGGGGGGAUGUAUAAGCAUGGAAAAUGGACAGAAACAGGGAUAAAGGAGCCAGUUACAGAUAAGCAACUGCUGAUUGUUUUGCUUGUUUGACUGAGCCUUGCACCUAAUCAUGGUCUGUCCAACCUUUUUGAGAGUGACUCCAGAUGCUGUUCUGAGUAGCCCCAGCCUGUACCUGGCUGCAGCAAUGGCAGAAGGAACAUAGGCCAUAGGGACCCAGCAGCUGGAAUCACCAGCCAGCUGCUGGUGGGAGUGCUCUGGGGGUGUGUGCAGUUCACUAGCGAACUUGAAGCUGGACCAGGUCACAAGCAAGAGGAGACAUAGAUCUGGAAAGACCCAAGGUCUGUGCCAGCUGCUGGGUAAGUAGCUUGACAUCCAGCCAGAGACAUUAACUGAAUUCCCAUGCUCAUAUUUAAGGAACCUAUGAACAUGCUGUGCUUGUGAAUCUAGGGAGUGAUUUGUGUGUAUGUUCCAGUCCUGAUCAGCUGGAGAGGAAGAUGAGUACUGGGUUCUGCUUUUUGUGUUAAGUGGGUUCUGGGAAAGGUCCUGCUCUAUGCUAUUUUGGUUUGCCGUUCAUGCCUUUGAAGUAUGUGUGCAUGUUCUUGAAUGUGAUCUGGCUCUUUAGAAGCCCAACUAAGCAA